GACGAACGCUGGCGGCGUGCCUAAUACAUGCAAGUCGAGCGAGCGGAACUAACAGAUUUACUUCGGUAAUGACGUUAGGAAAGCGAGCGGCGGAUGGGUGAGUAACACGUGGGGAACCUGCCCCAUAGUCUGGGAUACCACUUGGAAACAGGUGCUAAUACCGGAUAAGAAAGCAGAUCGCAUGAUCAGCUUUUAAAAGGCGGCGUAAGCUGUCGCUAUGGGAUGGCCCCGCGGUGCAUUAGCUAGUUGGUAAGGUAAAGGCUUACCAAGGCGAUGAUGCAUAGCCGAGUUGAGAGACUGAUCGGCCACAUUGGGACUGAGACACGGCCCAAACUCCUACGGGAGGCAGCAGUAGGGAAUCUUCCACAAUGGACGCAAGUCUGAUGGAGCAACGCCGCGUGAGUGAAGAAGGUUUUCGGAUCGUAAAGCUCUGUUGUUGGUGAAGAAGGAUAGAGGUAGUAACUGGCCUUUAUUUGACGGUAAUCAACCAGAAAGUCACGGCUAACUACGUGCCAGCAGCCGCGGUAAUACGUAGGUGGCAAGCGUUGUCCGGAUUUAUUGGGCGUAAAGCGAGCGCAGGCGGAAGAAUAAGUCUGAUGUGAAAGCCCUCGGCUUAACCGAGGAACUGCAUCGGAAACUGUUUUUCUUGAGUGCAGAAGAGGAGAGUGGAACUCCAUGUGUAGCGGUGGAAUGCGUAGAUAUAUGGAAGAACACCAGUGGCGAAGGCGGCUCUCUGGUCUGCAACUGACGCUGAGGCUCGAAAGCAUGGGUAGCGAACAGGAUUAGAUACCCUGGUAGUCCAUGCCGUAAACGAUGAGUGCUAAGUGUUGGGAGGUUUCCGCCUCUCAGUGCUGCAGCUAACGCAUUAAGCACUCCGCCUGGGGAGUACGACCGCAAGGUUGAAACUCAAAGGAAUUGACGGGGGCCCGCACAAGCGGUGGAGCAUGUGGUUUAAUUCGAAGCAACGCGAAGAACCUUACCAGGUCUUGACAUCUAGUGCCAUUUGUAGAGAUACAAAGUUCCCUUCGGGGACGCUAAGACAGGUGGUGCAUGGCUGUCGUCAGCUCGUGUCGUGAGAUGUUGGGUUAAGUCCCACAACGAGCGCAACCCUUGUUAUUAGUUGCCAGCAUUAAGUUGGGCACUCUAAUGAGACUGCCGGUGACAAACCGGAGGAAGGUGGGGAUGACGUCAAGUCAUCAUGCCCCUUAUGACCUGGGCUACACACGUGCUACAAUGGGCAGUACAACGAGAAGCGAGCCUGCGAAGGCAAGCGAAUCCCUGAAAGCUGUUCUCAGUUCGGACUGCAGUCUGCAACUCGACUGCACGAAGCUGGAAUCGCUAGUAAUCGCGGAUCAGCACGCCGCGGUGAAUACGUUCCCGGGCCU
rnacentral:rRNA from 1 species